AAGCAUCAGAGGGGGCUUUAACUAUAGCUCCAUGAAAGAUCCUGCACAGAGAUCUCUUGAGGAGCUGUGGACAAUACUCCCAAAAGGAAACCCGAGACCAUCCUCGGAAUUACAACAUCAUCCACUACAGCAAGGAAGCAUAAAACAGCUCAUUAGCAGCCCUAUCAAGUGACGGACCUAAAGCCAGCUCCAAAGUGCCCACACCUGUCUGCCCACACUGCCAGCCAGAAGGCCGGAUUCCACCGAGUAAAGAAUCAUUAUCCCAGCUCUACAUCUGGAUGUGGGACAGCUGCAGAGCUUCAGGGCACCACAGGUUACAAGGCCUCAUUGAGCAAAAGUUCAAACAAAGGAACCCAGAAGGAAAGCCGGGGUGGCAGCACCCACAUCUAAGCACCCUCCUGCUUCUCUGUGCCCCUCCAGCACCCAGCCAGCAGCACAGCCAUCCCGUCCAGAUGGUACCUCGCUGGCAGAGGCAUAGGGCUGACUCCUGAUCACACCUGCAGCCCUCCCUAUAGGCUAUGGGUGCUGAGAAACCCCAUCAACUAUGGGCUAAGGAAUGGACGUUGCAGCAAUGAGUCACAGACUGUGGCUCCUUUGUGUGUGUAGGAGGGCAGGCGUGGGCAGGAACCUACUAUCCAGGUUUCCUCUCCCUGCUACAGCAUUCCGAUGCUUUUUCAUCAUUUCACACUCAG
rnacentral:lncRNA from 1 species